GCCUACGGGGCGCAGCAGUGGGGGAUAUUGCACAAUGGGGGGAACCCUGAUGCAGCGACGCCGCGUGGGUGAAGAAGCGCCUCGGCGCGUAAAGCCCUGUCAGCAGGGAAGAAAAUGACGGUACCUGAAGAAGAAGCCCCGGCUAACUACGUGCCAGCAGCCCCGGUAAUACGUAGGUGGCAAGCGUUGUCCGGAAUUACUGGGUGUAAAGGGAGCGUAGGCGGGAAGCCAAGUCAGCUGUGAAAACUACGGGCUUAACCUGUAGACUGCAGUUGAAACUGGCUUUCUUGAGUGAAGUAGAGGUU
rnacentral:rRNA from 1 species